rnacentral:rRNA from 1 species
ACGGCCGUACCAUGCUGAAUAUACCGGUUCUCGUUAGAUCACCGAAGUUAAGCAUCAUUGAGCGAGGUCAGUACUUGGGUGGGUGACCACCUGGGAACACUGCGUGCCGUU